GCGAGGGUAGCCAAAUCGGUAAGGUGGGGGCCUGCAAAGCUCUUAAUUGCCGGUUCAAGUCCGGCCUCUCGCU
rnacentral:tRNA from 1 species